AGCGAGCAUGCGCCCGACGACUCCAAACCAGCAACUGUUGCUCGUAAGCGCUCCUGCCGGUUCUCGGACCGCCGGCUCAGCGAUCUCUUCCUUCUAAACCAGGCUGCCCCUCAUCUAUUUCCAUUAGAUGUUUGAUGCCCGAGCCCAUCCCGGGAGCGGACCGGUUCGGCUCACAGCUGCCCCCGAGCGCCCGGCGCCAUCCAAAUUGCUCUCCGCCGCGGCGGACCAGCAGACGUCCCCUUCCCCCCCCAGCCCCGCGCCGUCCCCCGGCCGUUUCAAAGCGCUCUCAGCAGCAGCGGAACCCGAGCGGCUCGGAGAUCGGCGGUCGCGGUACGGGCGUGAAGCGGCCCCGGCACCGCAGCAUCCCAGGACCCGCCGGGCUCGGCACCGCGCUGCGCAUGCAGCACCGCGCACACAGCGUUUUGCAUGCGCGUUUUCGGCAGAAAGACCUCAGCUGGAGCCUGGGACUGCAACACGGAGGGUGCUCAAGAAACAAAAGAAGGGAGUUAUUCUUCACUGAGUGAGGGCUACAACAGCACAGACUCUGAGAAUGAAUCCAACGCAUCCCAGAGGAGGAAGGAGUUAUCACCAGGCCAGGCUGUGUCCCCAGUGCAGGCUGUAUUGCGGCUGCUCGGAGGAGACGUCACCUCGCCAGGACCCGAGCUGAUUAUCUUCCCUUGGAUGCUUCAAAUGAUCGUCAGCUUUCUCAGAGAAGAGAAGGCUGUGAUUCAGAGGAUGAGGACGAGCCUGAUAGGAAUCAUCUCCAUUUUGUUCCUAAAAAGAGAACUCUUAGUCGUAGGCUGGCUGAACGCGUGGGUGAGUUGGUGCCUUUUCUCCCAGAGAGAGGCUGUGUCUUUCUUUUACUGAUGGAUGUCCGGAAGAAUGUGAGACUUGCCCAGUGAAGAGUGCAGUGCAAAGUUGUGCUCUUGGUCUUGACAAAAGAGCAUAAUGCUUGGUGGUCCUUGAGGUUUACAUGGGCUGUUCCUGCUCUCCACACACUCCCAUUACGACUGUUAUGGGAAAGGGGUAAAAACAAACCAACAAACAAAAAGCAACCAACCAGAGCCAGCCAGCCCUUUGGAAGUAAGCAGACUUACUGCAUGCCAAGCGUAUGUGGCUUUUCGGUUGCUCCUUAACUUCACAUCCAGUAUAACUGGUGUUCUUAGGUCCUCAUACUCCGUUUGUUUCUGGAAACCCCUCUUUUUGCUGUCCAGAAGAUUGCAGAAGUUUUUAGCAGCAGACCUUGGUCAUGGACUUGAUUACUUCAAGUCACUGUGUUUGGGUUAGAUUCUGCCCUACAGUCUCCUGCUGUUUUAGAACGCAGAAUGUCAUUUAAUUUCUAUGUUGAUGUGGUUGGAGUCUUUAAGUUAUAAUUACAGUCAAGCCAAGUUGUCAGAAUGAAACUUCUAUCUUCAUCUUCAUUGUUUGGCUGUAGCUUAUUUCUACUUUUCAAAUUAAAGACUGUACUGCUUGUUAGGUUUCAGCUGUUGAUAUUGAACUGCUAUAUAUUGUGGGAAGCCAUUAAUGUCUUCAGACUGAGAGGAGGGCUGCUUUACCCUAAAUUACAGAUUGCUUUGUACUGAUGGAUGUGAAUGGUGUAUGCAUUUUACACCAUAAGUACACAGCUUUUUGUAUAUACGCUUUCCCUUUUGUGUUGUACAGAAAUUGCCCAAUCUGAUCAUUCCAAUGUACAUCUUUUUGUCAUAUGCUUUAUGCAUUUGCACGGUAUGUUUUGUUGACCUCUAAAGCUGCAGAGGCAAAACUUACAUCAGUUGUGUACAAACUUAUAUUUAAUUUGCAUAAACUAUGUGUUGAAAGUGUUGCAAUUCUCUUAGGAAACUUAUAGCAAUGCUUCCCUGUGUAAAUCUCAACCAGCU